UACGGAAGGUCCGGGCGUUAUCCGGAUUUAUUGGGUUUAAAGGGAGCGUAGGCCGGAGAUUAAGCGUGUUGUGAAAUGUAGACGCUCAACGUCUGCACUGCAGCGCGAACUGGUUUCCUUGAGUGCGGUUGAGGUGUGCGGAAUUCGUGGUGUAGCGGUGAAAUGCUUAGAUAUCACGAAGAACCCCGAUUGCGAAGGCAGCUCACUGGAGCGCAACUGACGCUGAAGCUCGAAAGUGCGGGUAUCGAACAGG
rnacentral:rRNA from 1 species